rnacentral:rRNA from 1 species
CCUACGGGUGGCAGCAGUGGGGAAUAUUGGACAAUGGGCGAAAGCCUGAUCCAGCCAUGCCGCGUGUGUGAAGAAGGCCUUCGGGUUGUAAAGCACUUUCAGUGGGGAAGAAAGCCUUGGGGCUAAUACCCUCGAGGAAGGACAUCACCCACAGAAGAAGCACCGGCUAACUCCGUGCCAGCAGCCGCGGUAAUACGGAGGGUGCGAGCGUUAAUCGGAAUUACUGGGCGUAAAGCGCGCGUAGGCGGUCUGAUAAGCCGGUUGUGAAAGCCCCGGGCUCAACCUGGGAACGGCAUCCGGAACUGUCAGGCUGGAGUGCAGGAGAGGAAGGUAGAAUUCCCGGUGUAGCGGUGAAAUGCGUAGAGAUCGGGAGGAAUACCAGUGGCGAAGGCGGCCUUCUGGACUGACACUGACGCUGAGGUGCGAAAGCGUGGGUAGCAAACAGGAUUAGAUACCCCAGUAGUC